rnacentral:rRNA from 1 species
GGGCCCGCACAAGCAGCGGAGCGUGUGGUUUAAUUCGAUGCAACACGAAGAACCUUACCAGGGCUUGACAUGUUGGAAGUAGUGAACCGAAAGGGGAACGACCUGUUAAGUCAGGAGCCAUCACAGGUGCUGCAUGGCUGUCGUCAGCUCGUGCCGUGAGGUGUCGGGUUAAGUCCCAUAACGAGCGCAACCCCUGUUGCCAGUUAAUUUCUCUGGCGAGACUGCCCCGCAAAACGGGGAGGAAGGCGGGGAUGAUGUCAAGUCAGUAUGGCCCUUAUGCCCUGGGCUACACACACGCUACAAUGGGUGGUACAGUAGGUUGCAAUGGAGCGAUCCGGAGCUAAUCCAUAAAACCAUCCUCAGUUCGGAUUGUAGGCUGAAAUUCGCCUGCAUGAAGUCGGAGUUGCUAGUAACCGCGUAUCAGCAUGGCGCGGUGAAUACGUUCUCGGGCCUU